GAUGAACGCUAGCGGCAGGCCUAAUACAUGCAAGACGAACGGUAAGUUGAGUAGCAAUACUUAGCCAAGAGUGUCGUACGGGUGCGUAACACGUAUGCAACCUACCCUAUACAGGAGGAUAGCCUAGGGAAACCUGGAUUAACCCUUCAUAGUAUUAUUGGAUGGCAUCAUUUGAUAAUUAAAACUGAGGUGGUAUAGGAUGGGCAUGCGUCUGAUUAGUUAGUUGGCGGGGUAAUGGCCCACCAAGACGAUGAUCAGUAGGGGUUCUGAGAGGAAGAUCCCCCACACUGGCACUGAGAUACGGGCCAGACUCCUACGGGAGGCAGCAGUAGGGAAUAUUGGGUCAAUGGAUGCAAGUCUGAACCAGCCAUGCCGCGUGCAGGAAGAAGGCCUUCUGGGUUGUAAACUGCUUUUGCCAGGGGGAUAAAAUUUCCAUGCGUGGAAAACUGAAGGUACCUGGUGAUAAGCCACGGCUAACUACGUGCCAGCAGCCGCGGUAAUC
rnacentral:rRNA from 1 species